GAAAAGAUAGGCCAGGCAGUCAGUGAGUGGGCAGACACAGAAUCGUGUGGUUUCCUUGGCAACUCCCAGGGCCCUGCCAUUUUCCAGGCUCCUGUGGGGUGGCAGUUUCAGGGUUCAACCUGCUUUCUUCCCAGGUGCCCACAGAGGCUUGGAGGGGGCCCAGAGGAGGUGGGGGGAGAUAGUGGCACCGAGGUGUGUGUUACGGCCGGCAGGUGCUGGCCAGGCAGGACUGCUCAUCCAGGGAACCCUGUGUGCUACUGGACCAGGGAGGCGGCGGAUGUGACUGUGCCAUCGCUACCAGGCCUGGGCUGCGUCACCUGGGCUUUAGGUGUUGCAGGAAAAGGGUGUCAGGGCUCUGACUCAGGACGGUUAUCUCUGUUUGCCAACAGGGAGACUGGGACUCCCCCCUAGCCCUUCAAGGACUGUCUGCCUUGAAUCCAGCUGGCGACUUGUCAUGGAGUCUGGCUGUCAAAAGCGGGUCUGAGGCUGAGCCCUGGGGUACAGUAGAUCUGUGAUCCCAGUUACUUGGAUGGUUGAGUCAGGAAUACAGUAAGUUCAAGGCCAACCUGGGCUACAGAGUGAAUUUACAGCUAGCCUGGGCAACUUUCUGACACCCGGUGUCGAAAUAAGACCUUGGAAAUAGUCCUGGAGAUAGAGCUAGAUCGGUGGCAGAGCAUCUGCCUAGCAUGUGUGAGGAUCUGGGUUUAAUCUCCGGCGCUACCCCAGCCAACCAAAUCAAAGCAGGGCUGAGUUGACUCUACCCGUGAAGGCUGUUCCCACUUUGGAGCUGGGGGAACCAGGCUUUGCCACAGAGCCCAGAGAGCCCUGCAGACGGUCCCCACUGCCCAGCUGCUUCAGAACAGGCAGGUGCAUGGUAUCUUACUUCCUAUCCACCAGGAGGCCUGAGCAGGGUCAGCCUGGGAGCCACAGCCAGGGCUUCCUCACUGAGUGGAGGCCCCUUUGGGGGUGACCUGCUGUGCUCUCCACGCUGUGGAAGUGGAAGCCCUCGCCUCCAGCAAACGCAUACUGUGCUGAAUGUACUUGAGCUGCCGCUUAUUUUAAAAGCUGGGAAACUUGUGAGUAGGCUGGCAUCCGGCGGGUGUACACACAUGCCAGCAAUCCCACACUGCACCUCGGCUUGUGCUGCAUCACUUUUCUUUCAGUGGGGAGGGGAGAGAGGAAGGCUUGCUGCCUUAGGAGCUCCCAGUUAGGAUGGACAGCCACACUUGGUUUCUCUGCCUCCCUAGGGAUUCCGUCGCUGUUGCUGAGGAGGCUGGUGAACAGGCUGGAUCGUCUGAACACAGCUGGUCCUCCGGUUAAGGUCCUCCCAGCACUGAAUGACGAAUACCGAGUGGCCAUGUCCACCUUGCAGCAGGAAGCCUGGGCUGAGACCGGCCUGCACAAGCUUUCCCUGUACUUGCCAGGCCCACUGGAUGGCCCAGAAGACCCAGUUGCUCAGAUGCUCAUCAGGCUGCAUGACAUGCGACUGCUCCAAGGGAUCAAUGUGCUAGGCAUAGGUGCUUCCUGCAGCACUGACCCCAGGGCAGCGUGUCCAGGGACACUUGGUGGCACCUCCUACAGAAGGCCCCAGAGUUGGAGAAGCUAAGACUCCUGUCUUAGACUCAGGAGAGCAGCUGGGGGAAGAAUGGAUCAGCGUGACAAGCCAACACGGUCCCAGAGCUAGCUGUGCACCCACAGGCCCUGCACAAAGAGGACAACCACGUGUGUCCAGGAGCUGAAUCAGCCAGAAGAAUGUCCCUCCUUGUCCAGGCCCCUGGCCAGACUGGAGCCAACCCAAGAAAGUGGCCCAGGAGAUCGCAGGCAGUCCGGUAGGGUGCCUGUCCUUGGACUUUGGGAGGGACAGGAGUGCCCCCAUGAAGCUAGGGCUGUACAGGACAUGACCAGAGAGAGAUGGUCCCAAAGAGAUGAAAAUUCUCACAUGCUGUGCACCUCACCCCAGCGCCAUGCCUCACUGGAUGUCACUAGGGCGUUAAGUACCCACUCUAGCUCACACUGAGGACUGCAUGUCUGUAGCUCUCUCCUGUGUGCUUUGUUUCAGGAAGCAGGUUUCCCUGCUGAUGGAGCCUCAGCAGGUAGCUCUUUCCAAACCCUGCUGGGGAAACACUACUUCUGUUUUGGUCAGGGUUGCACCACAGCUGCUUCUAAAGUGAGCCCAGGAGGCUGGUUCCUGUGGAGGCUGGAGACGGGGUGCUGCACUUCCUGUCUCUGGGGUCCUUCUCUGUGUGCAGCUGUAAGGGACAAGGCAAAACCACACAGCAGUCAUGAAACAGCUGGGCACACUGGGGUUGCACCCAUGCCCAGGGUCUGCCUCUGCCCUAGCCUGAGCUGCUCUGGUGUCUAGACCUAGGCAGGGGAACCCACCCCAGCCUCAUCAUGUCCUUCCUUCUUCUUAGGUGCUUCUAGGUCCCAUCUCUUCCCUGUCUACAUGACUCUUCACUGAGUAUUCAGGGUAUGCUGUGCACUGUCCAGAGCAGUGAUUCUCAACCUUCCUAAAGUUUUGGCCCUUUAAUACAGUUCCUUAUGCUGUGGUGACCCCCAACGUAAAAUGAUUUUCAUUGCUACUUCAUAACUGUCAUUUUGCUACUGUUAGGAAUCAUAAUGUAAAUAUUCUGGGAGACAGAGGCUUGUCAAAGGGGUUGCAGCCCACAGGUUGAGAAUCACUGGUCCAGAGAGUGCACAUCAAUGGACCUAGAGAGCCAACUCCUGCACCUGACUAGAGAUGUUAAAUUAACAUCCUGUGCUGGGGCCCGGGCCACACAGAAGAGGCACCUGGUCACGGUGGUUGAGGAGAAUUUCCCCAAGGAGGUGGCAUCUGGGCCGAGUCUCAAGGUUAAACAGGGCUCUUGCAGGUGUCUCCCUGGCUUUAUUUUCUCAUUCUCGGUUACUGCUGCACGUUCAUUAGACUUUAUGUUACCACACAGUGGGAACACCCACCCAGGUGGUUCUAAUGACUGAUAAUGACCUAAUCAUUGUCCACAUUCAAGCAUGAGGUUCCAGCACAUUCUUAGCCACUUCUGAGAGACCCCUCAACACUCCACAGGCAACUGAGUCUUCCCAUGAAAGCAAACUGAGCACACUCUGUGGGCCUCAUCCCUUGUCAAGCCUGUCAAGAGCCCAGCCUAGACAUCCUCCUCACAGAGGCCAGCAGCAGGGAGUUGCCAGCUCAGCUUUCUUUGCCUCUACUCCCCACGCAGACCAGAGCCAGUUCUCCAGACUGCGCUUUCUCAGCCUCCUCUGGUGACCCUUGUUGCCGAACUGGUUUCUCUCUUCUCUGUCCCUAACCCUGCUUGCUUCACAUACAUUCCACACAUCCUCUGUGCUGUGAGCAGUCUGGAACAGGCACCCAGGGGGCCUGCCCCUCCCUGCCGUCAUGCCAUUCACUCUCCAUUCCCUCACUCCUCCCAGCUCUCUCUCCAGCAGGGCCACAGGCCUGGGGUGUGGGCUCUGCUGUGCUCAUCCCAGUAAAGGACAGGCCUGGAAAGCCCAGCUCCUGCUGCAUGCAUCUCAGUGUUGGAGGGAUCUACAGAGAGCCCGGGAGCCACAGUGGAUGGUAAAGGAAUAAAAAGCCAGUUCAGGGGUUGGGGAUUUAGCGGUAGAGCACUUGCCUAACUCUGAAAAAAAAAAAAAAAAAAAAAAGACAGCUUCGAGGUGGCAGGGGAAGGGAGGAGGCUGGGCUGGGGCCCCCAAAUGGCUGGCUGGAGCAGAGUCAUGGCCAGUACCACAAAUGAGAAGCAAGGAACACAGCCUGUGUCUGGAACCCUCCAUAGGCUGCCCAGUCUGUGCAAAGAACACAGAAGCGACUUGUCUUCCAGAGUGGAGAGAAGACCAGGUAGGGGACAGGAAGAGACGGGGCUCCAGCCCUCUGUGUCUCUGAGGAGUAAACCCCCUGUGGACCACCAGAGGCAAGAAGACAAGAAUGCUGCUUGCAGAGGACGCAUGGUCUCCUCACACAGGCUCAGCUGCUGUGUGAUCACGGAGGACCCAGCAAGUGAUAGGGUCUAGAGGGUCCAGGGUAGCAGGGCUGGGGACGGAAAAACUCAGACCAUACAGCUCUCCUCAGAACUAUAGUGAACGUGCCUCACUGGUGACUUAGGACAGUGUGAGAACUGGGAAGUAGAACCCACAGGCUCUGGGUUUGGUCCCCAGCACUGAAACAAGACAACGUGGAGCUAAAAUCCUGGAUGCCAGCAGCAUGGCAGACAGCGGGGUGUCCCAGUGAACACUCCAUCCAACUCCUUUUAUUUGGGGUGAUGGGGAGGAGGAGGGUAGACGCUGGGCUUUCUUCACAGGAACACAGGUGAGAAAAAGAUCAAAUGAAAUAUGGACAGAGGCUGAAAUGGUAACUCUCCAAGAAGGAGAAAGAUGAAAACCUGGCCUCCCCAGGGGAAGGUGCAGGGAACAAAAGAACCUAAGAAACAUGAGAAGAACAAAGUCUCACCAACAGGACCACCCAAACGUGAGCAGAACAUGGAUGGCACCAUGUCAACUGCAUGGGGAAAGCCUAUGAGGCCUCAACCCUAUGAGGCAGCUGAGGAAAGCUGGGCAUGGGAAAGAUGGCCUCCAGGGAAGAGCACAGCAACUGUGUGUCCAGUACCUAAUGGUCAGCCCUGGACACAUAGCAGUAUACAGGCUCAACAGGUGUGCUUUAUAUAUAUAUCUCAACAGUGAAAAAAGAGGCCUUGAAUUUGAAGGAACAUGGAGGGGUAUACCAGAGGUUUGGAGGGAGGAAAGGGAAGGAAGAAAUGGUCUAAUUAUAAUCUCAAAAAACCAUUGUGGUGGUUUGAAAGAAAAUGGUCCCCAAAGGGAGUGGGUGUGGCCUUGUUGGAGGAAGUUUGUCACUGGGGAGGUAGGUCUCAUGUUCAAGCCACACUCAGUGUCACAGUUCACUUCCUGUUGCCUUUGGAUCAAGAUGUAAGCACUCUCAGUUCCAGCACCAUGUCUGCCUGCAUGCUGCCAUGCUUCUCGCCAUGAUAAUAAUGGACUAAACCUCUGAAGCUGUAAGCCAGCCCCAAUUAAAUGCUUUCCUUUAUAAGA